rnacentral:lncRNA from 1 species
AAACGAACCUGUUAGUGACCAUGAUUCAUAUUAUGUCAAAAAUUUCUGAUGAAUAUGCAAUAUUCUUAGGGGUUUCACAACCGUUAGGCUAAAUGAUCGGGUGAUGGUCACCUAACUUAGAAGGUGGAUUCCUUUUUCUAUUUCUUUCUUUUCCAGAUUUGACUUUUCUUUUUCUUUCUUUUUAGCACGGGAUCAUUCACCUAUUUGCAUCGGUCCACUUAUUUAGUGGUAAUUUAGAUGGUGC